UGUUCUGUGGUUUAGCUGGUUAAAGCGCCGAACUAGCAAUACGAAGUCGUGGGUUUGGAUCCCACCAAAACAA
rnacentral:tRNA from 1 species